UCAUCACUCUCGGCUGAAACCUUCAACCAUACACCUGCUUUCAAAAUUUCAACUCAUUUUCUUGAAGAUCAUGACGAUUUCAAGCUAGUUUUGAUUCGGUUUGAAGAUCUAAAGGUGAUUCCAAGGCGAUUUCAAAGAGGAACAACCUCAUUAUCAUCAAAAAUCUCAUCAUAAUUCCACUUUCGUACUUUAAAGGAUAUGUAGAUUCAGACUAAGGGAUUGCGAUAAUAAAAAGCACCCAAAGGUACAUGAAUUCGGCUUCGAGGAUUUUGGCUUAUGUCGUCAUGUGGUUGGUGAUGCUUGUUGUAAUUAAAUAAUUAAGUUUGGACACUUUAAAAAACUGUCAUGGUGUGACAACUGGCACUUUUCCAUGUAUUCCGUACAAUAAUGAACAGUAAAUUGUACUUUGAUGACUGUGCAUGAUUGAAUUAACAAGACGAAUGAUUUUCUGAUUACUGUCGUAUACAU